AAAUUGAAGAGUUUGAUCAUGGCUCAGAUUGAACGCUGGCGGCAGGCCUAACACAUGCAAGUCGAACGGUAACAGGAAGAAGCUUGCUUCUUUGCUGACGAGUGGCGGACGGGUGAGUAAUGUCUGGGAAACUGCCUGAUGGAGGGGGAUAACUACUGGAAACGGUAGCUAAUACCGCAUAACGUCGCAAGACCAAAGAGGGGGACCUUCGGGCCUCUUGCCAUCGGAUGUGCCCAGAUGGGAUUAGCUAGUAGGUGGGGUAACGGCUCACCUAGGCGACGAUCCCUAGCUGGUCUGAGAGGAUGACCAGCCACACUGGAACUGAGACACGGUCCAGACUCCUACGGGAGGCAGCAGUGGGGAAUAUUGCACAAUGGGCGCAAGCCUGAUGCAGCCAUGCCGCGUGUAUGAAGAAGGCCUUCGGGUUGUAAAGUACUUUCAGCGGGGAGGAAGGGAGUAAAGUUAAUACCUUUGCUCAUUGACGUUACCCGCAGAAGAAGCACCGGCUAACUCCGUGCCAGCAGCCGCGGUAAUACGGAGGGUGCAAGCGUUAAUCGGAAUUACUGGGCGUAAAGCGCACGCAGGCGGUUUGUUAAGUCAGAUGUGAAAUCCCCGGGCUCAACCUGGGAACUGCAUCUGAUACUGGCAAGCUUGAGUCUCGUAGAGGGGGGUAGAAUUCCAGGUGUAGCGGUGAAAUGCGUAGAGAUCUGGAGGAAUACCGGUGGCGAAGGCGGCCCCCUGGACGAAGACUGACGCUCAGGUGCGAAAGCGUGGGGAGCAAACAGGAUUAGAUACCCUGGUAGUCCACGCCGUAAACGAUGUCGACUUGGAGGUUGUGCCCUUGAGGCGUGGCUUCCGGAGCUAACGCGUUAAGUCGACCGCCUGGGGAGUACGGCCGCAAGGUUAAAACUCAAAUGAAUUGACGGGGGCCCGCACAAGCGGUGGAGCAUGUGGUUUAAUUCGAUGCAACGCGAAGAACCUUACCUGGUCUUGACAUCCACGGAAGUUUUCAGAGAUGAGAAUGUGCCUUCGGGAACCGUGAGACAGGUGCUGCAUGGCUGUCGUCAGCUCGUGUUGUGAAAUGUUGGGUUAAGUCCCGCAACGAGCGCAACCCUUAUCCUUUGUUGCCAGCGGUCCGGCCGGGAACUCAAAGGAGACUGCCAGUGAUAAACUGGAGGAAGGUGGGGAUGACGUCAAGUCAUCAUGGCCCUUACGACCAGGGCUACACACGUGCUACAAUGGCGCAUACAAAGAGAAGCGACCUCGCGAGAGCAAGCGGACCUCAUAAAGUGCGUCGUAGUCCGGAUUGGAGUCUGCAACUCGACUCCAUGAAGUCGGAAUCGCUAGUAAUCGUGGAUCAGAAUGCCACGGUGAAUACGUUCCCGGGCCUUGUACACACCGCCCGUCACACCAUGGGAGUGGGUUGCAAAAGAAGUAGGUGGCUUAACCUUCGGGAGGGCGCUUACCACUUUGUGAUUCAUGACUGGGGUGAAGUCGUAACAAGGUAACCGUAGGGGAACCUGCGGUUGGAUCACCUCCUUACCUUAAAGAAGC
rnacentral:rRNA from 1 species